GGUAAGGUAACGGCUUACCAAGGCUGCGAUGUUUAGGGGACCUGAGAGGGUGAUCCCCCACACUGGUACUGACACACGGACCAGACUCCUACGGGAGGCAGCAGUGAGGAAUAUUGGUCAAUGGGCGCAAGCCUGAACCAGCCAUCCCGCGUGCAGGAAGACGGCCCUAUGGGUUGUAAACUGCUUUUCUGAAGGAAGAAUAAUUCCGAAUUUUUCGGGAGAUGACGGUACUUCAGGAAUAAGCAUCGGCUAACUCCGUGCCAGCAGCCGCGGUAAUACGGAGGAUGCAAGCGUUAUCCGGAUUUAUUGGGUUUAAAGGGUGCGUAGGCGGGCUAAUAAGUCAGUGGUGAAAUCUCUCGGCUCAACCGGGAAACUGCCAUUGAUACUGUUAGUCUUGAGUUCGGUUGAGGUAGGCGGAAUGUGUAAUGUAGCGGUGAAAUGCUUAGAUAUUACACAGAACACCAAUUGCGUAGGCAGCUUACUAGACCGACACUGACGCUGAGGCACGAAAGCGUGGGGAGCGAACAGGAUUAGAUACCCUGGUAGUCCACGCCGUAAACUAUAUUACUCGUUGUUGGCGAUACACAGUCAGCGACCAAGCGAAAGCGAUAAGUAAUCCACCUGGGGAGUACGCUCGCAAGAGUGAAACUCAAAGGAAUUGACGGGGGCCCGCACAAGCGGUGGAACAUGUGGUUCAAUUCGAUGAUACGCGAGGAACCUUACCUGGGCUUAAAUGUAGAGUGCAUAAGUGGGAAACCAUUUUUUCCUUCGGGACUCUUUACAAGGUGCUGCAUGGUUGUCGUCAGCUCGUGCCGUGAGGUGUCGGGUUAAGUCCCAUAACGAGCGCAACCCUUAUCAUUAGUUGCCAUCGGGUAAUGCCGGGGACUCUAAUGAAACUGCCACCGUAAGGUGAGAGGAAGGUGGGGAUGACGUCAAAUCAGCACGGCCCUUAUGUCCAGGGCUACACACGUGUUACAAUGGUCGGUACAGAGGGCAGCUACCUGGUGAUAGGAUGCCAAUCUCUAAAGCCGGUCCAAGUUCGGAUCGAAGUCUGCAACUCGACUUCGUGAAGCUGGAAUCGCUAGUAAUCGUAUAUCAGCAAUGAUACGGUGAAUACGUUCCCGGGCCUUGUACACACCGCCCGUCAAGCCAUGGAAGCUGGGGGUGCCUGAAGUUCGUAACCGCAAGGAGCGACCUAGGGUAAAACUAGUGACUGGGGCUAAGUCGUAACAAGGUA
rnacentral:rRNA from 1 species